rnacentral:sRNA from 1 species
UACCCAUUCAAGGAGACAGAUCUUGCUUUCCUCGAGGGAGUUGUCGGUGUUUGGUCUCCCAGCGACAGUCUCCAACAUGACCACUCCGAAUGCAAAAAUAUCAGCCUUUUCUGACAAAUGGCCUCUCAUUGCAUACUCAGGAGCUAGAUAGCCCCUUAAAAAUGAUAAGACAAGUUAAUAGUAGCAUUCAUAUUGAUGUUAUAAUCAUAAGAAGAUAAGUGGUAAAACAUUCUUACAAUGUGCCUGCAAUUCUAGUGCUCACAUGAGUUUGAUUCUCAUCGUAGAGUUUGGCAAGUCCAAAGUCCGAGAUCUUUGGGAUGAGAUUAGUGUCAAGUAGAACAUUACUAGCUUUGAUGUCCCUAUGCACAAUGCGUACACUUGACUCCUCAUGAAGAUAAGUUAGCCCUCUUGCUAUUCCUAAAAUGAUCUCGAAGCGCAUUACCCAGUCUAGGUUUAAGUUACUGUCACCUUUA